GGGAGGCGGGCGGCGGCGGAGGAGAUCGGAGGUAGAGAGAGAGGGAGAGAGAGCGCGGAGGAGGAGGGGGGACGUCCUUCGAGCAGCCCUACAGCAGGCUCCGCCGCUUCCACCACCACGGCCUCAGCCACGAGGAGUUCUCCUUCGCCCUCCUCGAGACCCGGCGGCUCUUCUUCUGGUUCCGGCAGCUCCUCUUCUUCUUCAGGUCGCUCUUGCAGUUCCAGUAGAUGCGGGCGCGGUUCGUCAUGCGGCUCCUCAUGCUACGGGUCCUGUUCCUCAACCAAGUCGAAUUCGCACUCCGGGCCUACUUCCCACCCAAGAUACAGUCAGGACUCCGAUUCGACGACAAACAACAGUCUUAGUCUCCAUAGUUACGGUACGUGGGUUUCUGGUUCUUCUAGAACGUCGACAACGCAAACUCUGUCUAUAAGUUACCUCACAAGGACUUCCAAUUGUUCCGGUGGUAGUUGUACGAGGCGUCCCAGCUCGGUAUACAACGUAUACCCAUGGGCUUGGACUUCUCACACUCCCUCAACUAGAUGUUUUCUCCAAUACCUUUCGAGUUGUUCGUUUCCUAAGGAGACUGGUUGUUGUUCCAGUAGCUCCUCCCAGAACCUUUCGUGUUGUAGUAGACGUAACUCCUGGAACAGGUGCUCUAGGACUGGCAACCGGGAGUGAAGUUCCUCCGGUUGUUGAAGGACACCGGUAAGUUCGACUUCCGCGGCGACCCUCCGGAGUUCUUCUUCUCCUUGGUGAUGCAGCUCCCGCCACUACGGCCGUUGGCGCUCUUGAUGUAGUUGGUCGAGCAGUCCUCCUACUUGAUCCAACUAGUAGCUACUAGGGGGAACAUAAGCCUUCUACAAAACAAACAAUUCGGACGAAAUGUAAUCCUUCACCUACCACCUACGUCAAAACUAUAAAGCCUUGGUACUACGUACAAAAACCUUCUUACACUGAUACAUACACCUCCAAAACUCUGGCACAAAUUACGGAGAACGACACAAGGCGCUUAUGCAAAGAAUAACAACAGUCGGAUCGUGAAGUACACCACAUUAAAAAAAGAAGAUCGAACAAUCAAGACGCAUUUUAAAAGACAACAACCCGGCC
rnacentral:rRNA from 1 species